rnacentral:tRNA from 1 species
GGCCCCAUAGCUCAGCAGGAUAGAGCAGCCGCCUUCUAAGCGGCAGGUCGCAGGUUCGAGCCCUGCUGGGGUCGCCA